UGAAUACGAGAUGCUACGGCAUCGAAGCAGUCUAUGUCAUACUUCCAAGAAAAGCUUGCACUGUCAUAAACAAAUAAUGCCUGUACCAUAACCGACACAGGUGGGUAGGUAGAGCAUACUAAGGGGCGCGAGAUAACUCUCUCUAAGGAACUCGGCAAAAUGACUCCGUAACUUCGGGAGAAGGAGUGCCUUAUUUUAUAAGGUUGCAAUAACAAGAUCCAAGCAACUGUUUACCAAAAACACAGGUCUCCGCUAAGUCGUAAGACGAUGUAUGGGGGCUGACGCCUGCCCAGUGCCAGAAGGUUAAAGAAGUUGGUUAGCAUUAGCGAAGCUGAUAACUGAAGCCCUGGUGAACGGCGGCCGUAACAAUAACGGUCCUAAGGUAGCGAAAUUCCUUGUCGGGUAAGUUCCGACCCGCACGAAAGGCGUAAUGAUUUGGAUACUGUCUCGGAGAGGGGCUCGGUGAAAUAGACUUGUCUGUGAAGAUGCGGACUACCUGCACCAGGACAGAAAGACCCUAUGAAGCUUUACUGUAACUUGAGAUUGAAAUUGGACUUUAUUUGCGCAGUAUAGGUGGGAGACGUUGAAAAUAUUCUUGCGGGAAUAUUGGAGUCAUCAGUGAGAUACCACUCUUAUAAUGUUAGAUUUCUAACUUUGUAUCAUUAUCUGGUCAAAGAACAGUCUCAGGCGGGCAGUUUGACUGGGGCGGUCGCCUCCCAAACGGUAACGGAGGCGCACAAAGGUUUCCUCUGAACGUGUAGAAAUCGUAUCUAGAGUGUAAAGGCAUAAGGAAGCUUGACUGUGAGACCUACAAGUCGAGCAGGGACGAAAGUCGGUCUUAGUGAUCUGACGGUGCUGAGUGGAAAGGCCGUCACUCAACGGAUAAAAGUUACUCUAGGAUAACAGGCUGAUCUCCCCCAAGAGUUCACAUCGACGGGGAGGUUUGGCACCUCGAUGUCGGCUCAUCGCAUCCUGGGGCGGUAGUACGUCCCAAGGGUUGGGCUGUUCGCCCAUGAAAGCGGUACGCGAGCUGGGUUCAGAACGUCGUGAGACAGUUCGGUCCAUAUCCGGUGUAGGCGUUAGAAUAUUGAGAGGAGCCUUCUUUAGUACGAGAGGACCGAGAAGGACAUACCUCUGGUGUACCAGUUAUCGUGCCAACGGUAAACGCUGGGUAGCUAUGUAUGGAGAGGAUAACCGCUGAAAGCAUCUAAGUGGGAAGCCCACCUCAAGAUAAGUAUUCUC
rnacentral:rRNA from 1 species